GGAGUGAAGGAGACACCCCAGCAAAAGUACCAGCGCCUGCUGCAUGAGGUCCAAGAGCUAACCACUGAAGUUGAAAAAAUCAAGACGACAGUGAAGGAGUCAGCCACAGAGGAGAAGCUGACCCCUGUGGUGCUAGCUAAACAGCUGGCAGCCCUGAAGCAGCAGCUGGUUGCUUCCCACCUGGAGAAGCUUCUGGGACCAGAUGCUGCAAUCAACCUUACCGACCCCGAUGGCGCCCUGGCUAAGCGCCUACUACUGCAGCUGGAAGCAACAAAGAACAGCAAAGGGGGAUCAGGGGGAAAAACCACUGGGACCCCCCCAGAUAGCAGCCUUGUCACUUAUGAACUACAUUCUCGGCCUGAGCAGGACAAGUUCUCUCAAGCUGCCAAAGUCGCAGAACUUGAAAAGCGCCUGACAGAGCUGGAGACAGCUGUACGUUGUGAUCAGGAUGCUCAGGUCAGGUGUUCUCCUGUACAUAAUCUGAGCCUUAGAUCCUGCAACUCUAGGCCUUAAGGUCUACAACAUUCCACAUAAGCCUGGGAGGAGUCAUCAAAGGGCUUCAGUUACAGGGAUCAGCUAGUGGGUUCCCAGCUAGAACCAGGAAAGAUGGGAGAUGAUAAUCAUGGAGAUAUAAGGACCACUCACUUCUUCCCUCCCUUUCCCACCAGAAUCCCCUUUCUGCAGGUCUACAGGGAGCCUGUCUCAUGGAGACUGUAGAGCUGUUGCAAGCAAAGGUGAGCGCCCUAGACCUUGCAGUUUUGGAUCAAGUGGAGGCUCGGCUACAGAGUGUCCUGGGAAAGGUGAACGAGAUUGCCAAGCAUAAAGCCUCUGUAGAAGAU
rnacentral:sRNA from 1 species